rnacentral:rRNA from 1 species
UAGUGGCGAACGGGUGAGUAACACGUGGGCAAUCUGCCCUGCACUCUGGGACAAGCCCUGGAAACGGGGUCUAAUACCGGAUAUGACACGCUCCCGCAUGGGAUGUGUGUGGAAAGCUCCGGCGGUGCAGGAUGAGCCCGCGGCCUAUCAGCUUGUUGGUGGGGUGAUGGCCUACCAAGGCGACGACGGGUAGCCGGCCUGAGAGGGCGACCGGCCACACUGGGACUGAGACACGGCCCAGACUCCUACGGGAGGCAGCAGUGGGGAAUAUUGCACAAUGGGCGAAAGCCUGAUGCAGCGACGCCGCGUGAGGGAUGACGGCCUUCGGGUUGUAAACCUCUUUCAGCAGGGAAGAAGCGAGAGUGACGGUACCUGCAGAAGAAGCGCCGGCUAACUACGUGCCAGCAGCCGCGGUAAUACGUAGGGCGCAAGCGUUGUCCGGAAUUAUUGGGCGUAAAGAGCUCGUAGGCGA